GUGUGUGUGUUUGUGUAUAUGUGUGUGUGUGUGUGUUUCCAGCUGGGGAAGGGAGAGGCGCCUCAGCAGAAUGGAACCAAGUUAGGUAGAGGCUUAGUAAAAUAGGGUUUCUAGAGAUCAUGAGACCUCCUGGCUAAAUAUAUGUUUCCUCUGGAUGUAACUGUGAACCUGUGGGUCCUAGGGGACAAGGGGACAGGGCCUGGCAGCCCGAGGGAGGAGGGAACCGAAUGGAGAAAGUCGGCGAUUCUUCUUUUUUUCCCCAAUUCUUCAUUGUAAAUUGCUGCUAAACACUUCUGAAUUUCAAAUUGCUACCGAGAAGGUCCAUAAACCGUUCUCAUCCAAUUUAGUCACUUUUAUUACAUUCCUCUUUGCCUCCCCCGAUCACUGCGGCAGCUCCCAGUUUCAGCGCGGCCGCAAUUCCGAAAGACUGAAGGCAGAAAACUCUGGAAAGGAGACUAGCGACUGGAGCAGGAUCCAGGGGCUUUAAAUUUUAACCUGGGUUCGAUCGAAUGCAUCUAUCCAAACAGAUAACCCGGCGUCCACCGUCCACUUAACUCCGACCAGGGCUUCCAAUGCCUUUCUUUUUUCUUUUCUUUUUUUAACCUGAGUUCCGACCUAAUUUUUACACAGACUGUUUUGCAAAAGCUCAUCUGUAAGCCGUUACAGAACGGUUGUGGGCAUUUGAUUUUCUGAGUCCAGGGGUUCUUAAAUGUUUCUGAGGUCUGUUCUCAAAAGCAAAGUUUAAAAAAAAAAAAUACAUACUCAGUGAAGUGAUUUCUAAUGAAACCAAGUUAACAAAUAAAUCCUUUGGUUAAGUUGGGAAUACAGGCUGUGAAUGGCCUCCAACUUUGAACCCCAAAGAGACCGAGCCCCCCCCCCCCCCCCGCAAGAAACUGAUUCCUGCUGUGUGUAUUUCUUUAUAUUUGCAAUUACGGGGGUGACCGUGUAAAUUUCUUUGGACAACAGAUGAUCCCCAGAGACCUGCUUUUCCGGCCACUCCGCAGCAGCCGGGAGAGGGUGCCCUGGCCCCCGCACGGCCGGGACAGAGGUGAGAGGCGGGACGCACACCAACUUCACUAUGUGCGAUUUCUAAGGCUCGAGAAAGGACCUGACAUUUUACCACCCCCACUCCCACCCCAGAACUCCGAUCGCGUUUGAGUAUUGCUCAGAACAAAGGUGGGGGCAGGGAGGUAAUUGUUUGCUCUCUUGCAAGGUCACAAAUUUUUUUUUAAAGACUGGUUUUGUUUUUCUUGCCAAUUAACUAAGAAAUAAAACUGUUUGACCCAUGGAAUUGAUUCAGACAGAAAGCCAGAUUGCCUGACCCUUUCAGUUUGCAGUUUUCCCAACGCGUCGACUUUGGCCCUGGGGACAACACCCCUGGGGAACAGCACAUUUUCAAAGCCACCCUCCCAGGGGCCUCAGGCCCGGCGCUCCGAGCUUGCUCUGAGAGCCCCAGCUGGUCCGGGAAGGUGGGGGAUAUUAGGGGGCGCAGAGGAAGAAGGGCGUCGCAACAGCUGGCGAAGGCCUCCAAGUGCUCCAGGGCCCGGGCCCACUCGCCCGGGUGGGAUGGCUCGACCCCCGACUGGACUCCACCGCUGUCACUCCGACGCAGGUCAUCGCCCAGAGAGUGCUGACAGUGAUGGUGAUGGGCUUGUUAUCUAGGCCACCCAAUGACCGACGAAAGAUUUUCUCCCUCGCUGCUUCUCCCCAGGCCGCUUUAAACCAAAUAAAUUUAGCUAUUAAGGGCCAAGAUGUCUGACAAAAGAUCGAAAGGUGUCUCUCCGUGAUCGCUUAAAGAAGCGAAGGAGAAGCUUGCGGCUCCAUCUCGAUAAAGACAUUCCACACCGGCGCCGGCCUCCCUCCCCGCGGCCUGCUUGCGUCCCGACACCCUGACAGUCCCCACUUGGCGGCCCAGACCUCGGAUGGGCCGGGCGGGACCUGCGGCCGCUUCCCGGCCAAAGAAUGCCGGGCCCUAGGGACCCGGGAGAGCCGGGGACUCCAGGCCUGAGCUGGACUCCCCAAACGUGCCCUCCCCCGCCGCCCGCACUAGACUGAAGACCUAAAGCGAGCUCAUGCAUGCUAAGUCGCUUCAAUCAUGUCCGACUCUUGGUGACCCUUUGGACUGUGGCCCGCCAGGCUCCUCUGU